CCAUUUUCAGAUUCUCGGCUUCGGGUUUUGUUUGGAUAUUGGGCCCAUCAUUUCUCUACUGACACCCGACGAGCUUGUGCUCAAAACAGUCUGUACAAUACGACUAUCAACCAUGGUGGAGGAACUUGGCAUCGACGUCUCUGUUCCUCCUAGCCUCCAUUUUCUCUCUGCUUUCCCUCGCGGAGUCAGCUGAUUCCUUAAUUUCCAUGGCCAGGGAAUUGGGUUGCGGGUUGGUGACCGAGACAGUGCAGAAAUUCAUUUGGGAUCAUUUCAUUACCAAAGCUCAAGAAAUGAACCAUUUUCAUGUACCGUAUCUGAAGAAAUUUCUGAAGAAACUAAAAUCUGAAGUUGAGUCGAGUCAAGUCAAGUUGAAGUGUUGGACGAGUUUUAUGAAUUAUUUUCUCAUUACUUGGUUUCAUUGAAGGUGUUCAAUCUGGCCUUCAAGUCUAUAUCUUUCAGUAUUGAUACUCUCGUUUCCAGAUAUUUUCUCGACAAGAGUAUGCUUUGAGGUAAAGUAAUUCAUUUAUUCUGCCUUAAACCUAGUCCAAAACUUCCUUACUUUCUGCCAUCUGAACCAUGGAUAUUAGAUGCCUUGAAUCUUGAUGGCCGGUCAUUAUACUCUAAUACUUUUUCUUGUUCCCUUUUGACGAUUUAAGUCCUUUUCAUCUUUUUCUAUUUAAUUUUUUUAUUUAUAAAAAAAGAAAUAAGAGACACAAGUAUCAUUUAUAUCUUUUGUGUUUAAAAUGGCUAUUCUGUGGAACCACAGAUUUCUUCAACCUUACCAGUUAAUUCAAAUCUGCAGUAGAUAUUCAGCUUACAAUUUUAUUUAGUCUGAAGUGUUGGAAGUGUGUAAUGGACACUCACAAAUAAAUAACCAACAAACGAUUAUUUGAGAGGAAACAAAAACACUUUUAAUUGAAAGACUCUUCAAACUUGUUCACACUUUUGAUUGAUCUCUUUUUGUGUGUUCUUCUCUACACACUUGGAUACAUCAACAAUGUCAAUUUCAAUAUCAAUCCUAUUUAUAGGAUUGUCAUGGGUA